CUUCUUCACCUUCACACGCAAUUUCUUCAGGAAUUGCAAAUUCUAGUUAUUAUUAUUAUUCUACUUAUUCCGCUCACUUUUUUGCUGAUUAACUACUUCCACAUACUUCAACCGAUUCACUCCGUUCCACUUUUCACUUAUUCCAAAUAUUCAUGACACGGCUGCUUACAUUUUUUUUGUUC